rnacentral:rRNA from 1 species
UACGUAGGGGGCAAGCGUUGUCCGGAUUUAUUGGGCGUAAAGAGCGUGUAGGCGGCUUUGCAAGUCCGUUGUGAAAACUCGAGGCUCAACCUCGAGACGCCGGUGGAAACUGCAAAGCUAGAGUCCGGAAGAGGAGAGUGGAAUUCCCGGUGUAGCAGUGAAAUGCGUAGAGAUCGGGAGGAACAUCAGUUGCGAAGGCGGCUCUCUGGACCAGUACUGACGCUGAGGCACGAAAGCGUGGGGAGCAAACAGG